GCGGGCGUAGCUCAAUGGUAGAGCGCUUGCUUCCCAAGCAAGAUACGCGGGUUCGAUUCCCGUCGCCCGCU
rfam:Micrococcus luteus NCTC 2665, complete genome.